UUUUUUUUUUUUUUUUUUUUGCCACAGCUAUGGCAUAUGGAAGUUACUGGGCCAGAGAUCAGAGGUCAAAUCUGUGCUUCAGCUGUGGCAAUGCUGGAUCCUUAACCUGCUGUGCCACACGGGAACGUCCAUAAGCAGUGAUUUUUAAAAAAGGAUUCUUCUCAAAAUAACUUUCACAUGUUUGUGAAGUUCAUUUAACUAGGAUUUCUUAUGUAUCUAUGAUACCAUAGUAAAGAAUCAGUGUGCAAACAUUUGCUUGACAUUUGUAGAAUUGAUUGCUUGUUACGUAUUUCAAAACUAACUUUUAGAGGCCACUAACUGUGGUGACAUUUCUAAUACUAAAACUAUAGUAGUGUAUGGAGUUCCAGUCAUGGCUCAGUGGUUAGUGAAAGCAGUUGGCAUCUCUGAAGACGUGGGUUCUAUCCCUGGCCUUGCUCGGUGAGUCCAGGAUGAGGUGUUGACAUGAGCUAUGGUGUAUAUCACAGAUGUGACUCAGAUCCCACGUUUCUAUGGCUCUGGCAUAGGCUGGCAGCUAAGGUUCCGAUUGCCCUAGCCUGGGAACUUCCGUAUGUCAUGGGUGAGGACCUAAAAGAUAAAAAGGCCAAAGAAACAAAAAACAAAACUGUAGUUAAAUAGAUACCAAAGAUGGAAUUAUGGCAAGGAUGAUACAUGGUAUUUCCAGAAUUAUCAAGACAUUAUUUUGAACAUUUAUAGUCCUGUGUAUCAGGGUUUCUUAGAAGGGCCAAUGAGAGGCUAAUUAUACUUUUAAGUAUUUCUGAAGUAUCUACUUUCUUCAAAAAUUUUUCAAAUUUCAGAUAUAAGUACUUUAAACCAUGCCUGAUUCUUUCCAUGAGAACUAAAAUUUUGUUUUUGUUCUUUUGAUUGUUUCAAGUCAUGCUGCAUUGGUUUUCCUGGGACGGAUGUGUAAUGGUGUCCACAUACUCCUUACUUGUUGCCAGGAAUUAUCUUGACAUCUGGAAUGGGCUACUGUAACAGACCUGUGUAGAGAAGAGGCUGCAGCAUAUGCUGAGAGACUGGGGUCUGUUAGCAGCUCUUUUUCUAACACCAGGAGAUUAUUUCCCUUGGUGCUUUAGAUGUCCAUGAUCCCUUACAAGUGAUCAGCUUUUCUAAGAAAACCACUCUCAUAUAUAAAUUCCUAUGUUAACUCUAGCUAUUGCACAUGGUAGAAAAAAGCAAACUGGUUUUGAAACGAAGAUGUGUGUCUGUCUAGGCUCAUUCGCCAAGCUCAGUGACUUGCUUCCUUCCUAUAUUUAAUACUUUUUCCCUCCCACCUUGAAUACUUCCUACAGUAUGAAUUAAGACUAAUUAUCCAUGUGUUUGUAGAUUUUCAAGUAGCCAGGGGCUUUUAGGCAUCACAAACAGUAACUUGAGGUUGCCCAUUAUCUUCUAUACUAUGUGAUCCUGCUCAUAUAUACAUAAUGCAUCUGGCUCCCCACGUUGCAGGAUUCAAAUGUUACUUAUUUUGGGUGAGAUUUUUAGAAAAGUAUAAGAGAUUUUAGAAAUAUACAUCGCAUUUAUCUUGCUAAUUAUUUCUCUUCUAUAAAGUGCAGAGAGUUGGAAUACAUAGAAAGCUUUAGGUAUAACAAAGAAUUUUCACUAUAAUGGCAGUCAUUGACAUGGUCUGCCUUCUAAAGAAGCACAUACUACUGUGGGCACCUCAGCAGAUGAAAUAUGUAAUUGAGCUUCUAAAAUUGUGCAGGUGGGAAUAAAUUGAUUUAGUUAAGCACUUUAUGCGAUAGCUUUUUAUUCACCAGACUUAAAAAAAAUCACUCACAAGCAAAAGAAGUGGAAAAAGCUUAUCUGUAAACCCAGUCUUCACUAAUGGUUGAUAUGUAAAUAUGUAGAUUUCCAUUCAAUUUUAUACCCCAAAUGAAACUGAAAUAGAAAAAUGCUAUAUUUUUUAGUAAAAUGGUUCUUCCUGUUAUGCAAGUAAAUCUCAUCUAAGUCAAGGAUAGAAAAUAAGGAGUUUGACGAUGUGCACAGUACAGCUUUGCAAAUAAUUAGGCUCACAAAAAUUCUAGUUCCUAAACAGACUUCACAGUAACACAUUUUGCAGGUUUGCAUUUAUUCAUGUCACCUGCUUCAUUUCCUGGCUAAUUCCCCAAACACAGUGUUGGUGCCCACUUCAAUAAAUUAACAGGGAUUCAAGCAUCUUCCUGUAGCCAAGCUCAUGUAAUUAACUCUUCAUUAUCCACAUGUUCAUUAAUUCUAAGAUGAUUUCCCUUUGCCUCUGUGCAUACCUCUAAAAGCCCAUUCCUCGUGUCAGCUGAUGUCUGCCUAGGGAAGGUGGUCUAAUUUUUCUGUUUACCUAAGUAAUGUAUAAUUAGCAUAUCUACUAAUCUGUAAAUCAGUGCAUUUGUGGCCAAAUAGAAAGAUGUUUUUAAUUUAUAGCUUAUUUGCUAUUAGCUUAUAUUGUUGAGUAUUUAUUGAACCCUUGUAAAUUCUAUAGCCUUUGGAGGCAGGUUACUGCAUUUCCUUCAGGCCCAGUGAUUGAUGCUUUCUGAAUCUGUAACUGGAAUUUUUAAGCCCACCUGGAUUUAUUUUAAUCUUCUAGAACAUGCUUACUUGUAUAACCAAGCAAGUGGAAGGUUUCUACAUUCUAGUUGCCUAAUCUUCCAUUUACUAAUUGCUUGAUUCAACAUUUUCUUCCAAUCUGAGAAGCAUCUCUUGUUUAUGUUAUAGUGAGAUCAUCUUUGCAGGUGUGUUUUCUCCCAAUUAAGCAAUGGAAUAAUGCAGUUGAUAAAUGAAUGGCUGAAUGCUGUGUGGCUGCUGCCGCAAUGACUAUUGGACUAGGAGUACGAAUUCCAUGUCUAAUGAUGUAGAAACAGACAAAUAUAUUUAGUUUUGCAGUGCCUUCCCUGAGCCUUUAUGGUUCUCAGGUGCUACGUGUUAUCCAUAGAAACUCCAGCGAUUUUGCUUGCAGCUGCCUAAGUGUGUUUUCCUUUUUAAAAGGAUUUAUCUUUUCAAUCAUAGAAUCCUCCCUCAGUAUUUUAUACUUUUAAGUUUUUAAGUGGCUAGAGGAGCAGGACAUAAGGAAGAAGAUGAAAUAGAGAGCUAAAGGUUAUUUGACUUUUUCCACAGUGGGUUGUUGCAAGAUCAAGAGAAGGAUUGCAAUGACUUAUCUUUGUUAUAAUGUACUAUCAAGCUGGAUGCUUAUGAAUGACUGCUGGCAAAUGACGAUUGCCAGAGAAACAAAAGAAAGGUGCAGUUUCCCUUGGAUAACUGUCCUUCUCUUUAAGAUUUUAUUUAGCUUGAGAAUUAACAUUUUUCUAAAAAUAAAUAGCUGUAUAACCAGCCUGUGUUAAGAUUUUAAAAGCUUGAAUUGUUUUAUUUGAAAAAAAAUAAAAGGACAAUCUGUUUGGGCCUUUAAGUGCUUGAAAAACUUUAAUAGCCUUUUAUAUUCUGGAGGAAAUGGGUAGAGAAGACCUUUUUUGAAGGGGUGCCUUCCAGGAUGACUUAUUUAAAUCCUUGACUAAAACUCUUAAGCAAAUUGCUUAAUAAAAGAUUUCUUAAAUUUACAAAAUUUAUAAUACAGCAUAGAGAAUGCAUGUUGAAUUCAGAAUACAAAAUAUUUUUCAUUUUUAUGUUCUAUAGAAGAAAUAAUUUAGUGUAAAAGUGCUAUUAAAUGUAGUACAAUCUAUGUGAAUUGUAAAUAGCAUUUGAGAAAUUCAUGAAUUUUAACAAUAACCAUAAAUUUCCCUGGCCAGAGCCGGGCAUAAUUUUAUUUCAGUGAUAGUAUACGAAUGGAUUAAGCCAUUAAUGAUCAAUAUAGUAUUAAAUAUAAGAGCAUUUUAUACUGUCAAAUGAUGUGUAUGGUAUGAAUAGAUGCAAAGGCUUAUAUUUUGUAGUGUAGCUCAUAAGAACAAAAGAUUAUCUGGGUUUGAAGCGCUCUGGUAUUUAUUGGUAUCCUCUGCCUUCUGAACUGAAAUCUCCCUUAUCACUGUAACGAAAUCGUUGAGAUAAUACAAGCUUUAGAACAGACCUGACUUUGUUUCUGUACCCAUUAUUUAAUAGCUGUGUGAACUUCAUCACAUUAUUUUCAUCAAAGCCCUCAAUUCUUCCAAAACUCAGUUUCCUCAUUUUUAAUAAAGAAAUUAAUUAUAACUACUAACCUUGCUUAUUGUAAGGAUUAAAUAAAAUCCUUAUUUUUUAUUUAAAAAUUAACGUACUUUAUUGUUACAGCAUAUAAAGAACAUAUGAGGUCACAAGAACUCUAUUAAUAGUUACAAUUAUUAUGGAUAUUAUUUUGCUUAGAGUUUAAGUUCAGUAUUGAGAGUUGUCUGCAUUCAGUCAGCUCACAACUUGGGUUUAGCCUGUGAAAGGUUCUUGUCUAUUUUCCCAGGGCAAAUCAAGGAUGCAUCAAGAUAAACAGGGUAACAGCCCUCAUUCUAGCUUUAUAAGGCACCCUCAGAGAAUUUAGUGUAUACCCUUCUGCCUUAUGUGCCUAGGGAAUUCCUAAUGGAAAUUGUUGAGAGUAGACAGUAGCCUAGUAGAAGAAAAUGAGUUCCUGGAGCUUUCAUGCUUAUGGAUUCUAUUUCCUUAUCUAGGGGGUGGGGAUAAAUAAUCUUUGCUGUGUAAGUCUCAUAGGGUUAAAUACUGCAAGACUCUACCCAAGCAUAAGUGAGAGCAGAGUUAUUUUCAGGCAGAUUACUGACACUGCUGAAACAAGCAUACGUACCAUUUACAUUUAAAAUAAUCCAAUCAGGAGUUCCCGUCCUGCUGCAGUGGUUAAGAAAUCUGACUAGGAACCAUGAGGUUAUGGGUUCGAUCCCUGGCCUCACUCAAUGGAUUAAGGAUCUGGCUUUGCUGUGAGCAGUGGUGUAGGUCGCAGAUGAAGCUAGGAUCCAGCAUUGCUGUGGCUCUGGUGUAAGCUGGCGGCUGCAGCUCCAAUUGGACCCCUAGCUUGGGAACCAACAUGUGCCGCAGGAGCUGCCCUAGAAAAGGCAAAAAGACAAAAAAAAAAAAGAAAAAAAAAAAAA
rnacentral:lncRNA from 1 species